GGCAACGUGGCCGAGCGGUCUAAGGCGCCACGUUAAGGUUCAUCCUUGAUAUCAUCAACUCAUCCCAGUUGUUCCGUGGUCCGAAAGGGCGUGAGUUCGAAUCUCACCGUUGUCA